rnacentral:rRNA from 1 species
UACGGGGGGGGCAAGCGUUGUUCGGAAUUACUGGGCGUAAAGGGCUCGUAGGCGGCCAACUAAGUCGGACGUGAAAUCCCUCGGCUUAACCGGGGAACUGCGUCCGAUACUGGAUGGCUUGAGUAUGGGAGAGGGAUGCGGAAUUCCAGGUGUAGCGGUGAAAUUCGUAGAUAUCGGGAGGAACACCAGCGGCGAAGGCGGCGACCUGGGUAGAUACUGACGCUGAGGUGCGAAAGCGUGGGGAGCAAACAGG